rnacentral:rRNA from 1 species
AUUGAACGCUGGCGGCAGGCCUAACACAUGCAAGUCGAACGAGUGGCGGACGGGUGAGUAAGGUCUGGGAAACUGCCUGAUGGAGGCGGAUAACCACUGGAAACGGUAGCUAAUACCGCAAACCAUCAGAUGUGCCAAGACGGGAUUAGCGUGUUGGUGGGGUAACGGCUCACGAAGGCGACGAUCCCUAGCGGGCCUGAGAGGAUGACCAGCCACACUGGAACUGAGAAACGGUCCAGACUCCUACGGAAGGCAGCAGUGGGGAAUAUUACACAAUGGGCGAAAGCCUGAUACAGCCAUACCGCGUGUGUGAAGAAGGCCUUCGGGUUGUAAAGGACUGUCAGCGGGGAGGCGUUACCCGCAGAAGAAGCACCGGCUAACUCCGUGCCAGCAGCCGCGGUAAUAC